rnacentral:lncRNA from 1 species
CCUUAGAAGUAGUCCUCGUUACCUUCUAAUUUAUGGGCGUCCAUGGUUUUCGAUAAACUAAAGAAUUCGCACUUAAUUUCACCAUUAAGAAGAUACAUGUAAAUAUCUGUAAGGUAAAAACCCUAAGAUCGUCUUAGUAUAUACAGGUACGAUAAAUUUCAGAUGUUAUAGUAGUUAUGAGUUGGAUGCAUUUAUAGGCAUGGGGGCUGGUUAUCGCAGGGCAAGAGAAAACACAGUUCCAAUAGAAAAAUAGCAACACAUGGAUGUGAUGUAGGGAAAUUUUCACAUACACCCUCUUUAUCUUUAAAAUUUUUCAAAGUGGCCCUUCACCCUCUUGAUCUUUAAAAUUUUUCAAAGUGGCCCUUCAUCAUUCCCAAAUGAUCCUACCAUCAUUUCUCUUAACAGUAUGGUAUCACUUCACCGUAUACCAUAAUUCUAUUGUUUAAUCAAAAUGUUCGUAUUAUCAUUUUUUUUGGAAGUCCAGUAUUGGUUUAAUGAACAAAUGGAAAGCAAGAUUAGAGUCUCG